UUGAUUGACGGAUUGAUUGAUUGAUUGAUUGACUGAUUGACUGAUUAAUUGAUUUUAGCAGGGUUGUACCUGUACUGGAAAGUGUGCGACCAAUAAUUGUUCGUGCAAGAAAGGCUCCUCAUCUUGUUCUGAAGAAUGUAGUUGUAAAGCGGUGAAGUGCGUCAACCGUCUGCCGAAACCUCUUCAGGCCGUACCAUCUCUGGCUACGAUAUCAGCAAGCGACUUUGAAAGCGAACCUUCACCGCGCUCAAAUGUGGGAGGUGAUGAGCGGAAAGCGUUAAUCGAGGUGAAAAACAUACCCGUUAAAGAACUAAAGUCCGACAAGAAGAACAUGCCAUCGUCGAUCAGGCAAAACGGAACAGAAAAUAAGCUUGUCUCGCGUAAACGCCCUAAAGUCUUCAACAAACCACACUCGAGUAGCUCGGUUUCCUCUUCCGAUGAAGACUUGGUCCUGUCGAACCAACGCGGAUUCACUCGACCCGGGACUACUUCCGCUCGGUCUUUUCCCGUGCAUGGAAGUUCGAAGACGCCUGGAUUCAGCUUUGGUUCUGCUAAGAAGGUGAUCGUAAAAAAGUCGAUGACAAAGUUUCACCCGGAAAACAAGCGAAAACGAAAAUUGCUGAAACCUGCCAACACUGCUUCAAGUUUGGGCGUUAAACCUUGAUUCGCGACCCUGCAGGGGUAAACUGAGAGAGAACUGUCUAAAAAUCAUGAACUAUUUUGAGUGAGCAAACAAGUCUCUUUGAGCGCUUGAGAAAUCUUGGAUUCGACCCGAAAAACUCCACAUAGCUCUUUGCAGAGAGUUGCAUAACAUCUUUGUUUGGUUUGCAGUGGCGCGCAAGCUCGCGCAAAGAGAGAUAUAAGUGCUCUUAGAUGAUAACAACCCAACCGGAUACAAUCCAC